CCUACGGGAGGCAGCAGUGGGGAAUAUUGGACAAUGGGCGAAAGCCUGAUCCAGCAAUGCCGCGUGAGUGAUGAAGGCCUUAGGGUCGUAAAGCUCUUUUACCAGGGAUGAUAAUGACAGUACCUGGAGAAUAAGCUCCGGCUAACUCCGUGCCAGCAGCCGCGGUAAUACGGAGGGAGCUAGCGUUGUUCGGAAUUACUGGGCGUAAAGCGUGCGUAGGCGGUUAUUCAAGUCAGAGGUGAAAGCCCGGGGCUCAACCCCGGAACGGCCUUUGAAACUAGAUAACUAGAAUCUUGGAGAGGUCAGUGGAAUUCCGAGUGUAGAGGUGAAAUUCGUAGAUAUUCGGAAGAACACCAGUGGCGAAGGCGACUGACUGGACAAGUAUUGACGCUGAGGUACGAAAGCGUGGGGAGCAAACAGGAUUAGAUACCCUGGUAGUCCACGCCGUAAACGAUGAUAACUAGCUGUCCGGACACUUGGUGUUUGGGUGGCGCAGCUAACGCAUUAAGUUAUCCGCCUGGGGAGUACGGUCGCAAGAUUAAAACUUAAAGGAAUUGACGG
rnacentral:rRNA from 1 species